CCAGCCAAUGCCUUGGCAAGGGCAUUCACUUCAACGACCUUUUGGGCAGCAAACGCGAGCCAUGACUUAAUCUCAUCAUCAAGCUUGGUCUCAUUUACAAGGUCCACAGCAGUGUGCAUGAGUGAGCAAGAGGUCGAUACAACAAGCUUGUCUGCACAAAUGUCAUAAUUAUAAACUGGAAAUUGUAGCUGCAAGCCUAUAAUAAGAGAUACUUCUACAUAGCAUGGCAUGCUUACCCUUCCCAACAAUAGCCUCAAGAGACUGAAGAGUGGCAAGAGAUGCAGCAAGGUCAUCAGCCCAAAUGUUGCGUCCAUCUACAACACCAGCAAAAAGGUACUUUCCAGCAGGGAAACCACUCUUGACAAGCUCAAGAGUCUUGGUUCCACGUUCGAGGUCAAAACCAUAAGCAGUCACGCUGCUCAAUGAU
rnacentral:lncRNA from 1 species